GCUCACUGCAACUUUCUCCUGCCGGGUUCAAGCAAUUCUCCUGCCUCAGCCUCCUAAGUAGCUGGGACUACAGGCGCAUGCCACCAUGCCUGGCUA